UACAGAGGGUGCGAGCGUUGUUCGGAAUUAUUGGGCGUAAAGGGCGCGUAGGCGGUGCCACAAGUCACUUGUGAAAUCCCCGGGCUUAACUCGGGGCCUGCAGGCGAAACUGUGGUGCUGGAGUGUGGGAGAGGUGCGUGGAAUUCCCGGUGUAGCGGUGAAAUGCGUAGAGAUCCGGAGGAACCCCAGAGGCGAAGGCGGCCCCCUGGCUCGUACCUGACGCUCAGCCACGAAAGCAUGGGGAGCGAACGGG
rnacentral:rRNA from 1 species